rnacentral:tRNA from 1 species
UCCCUGGUGGCUCAGUGGUAAAGAAUCUGCCUGCCAAUGCAGGAGACACAGGUUCAAUCCCUGGCCCAGGAA